UGCCAGCAGCCGCGGUAAUACGGAGGGUGCGAGCGUUAAUCGGAAUAACUGGGCGUAAAGGGCACGCAGGCGGCUAUUUAAGUGAGGUGUGAAAUCCCCGGGCUUAACCUGGGAAUUGCAUUUCAGACUGGGUAGCUAGAGUACUUUAGGGAGGGGUAGAAUUCCACGUGUAGCGGUGAAAUGCGUAGAGAUGUGGAGGAAUACCGAAGGCGAAGGCAGCCCCUUGGGAAUGUACUGACGCUCAUGUGCGAAAGCGUGGGGAGCAAACAGGAUUAGAUACCCUGGUAGUCCACGCUGUAAACGCUGUCGAUUUGGGGAUUGGGCUUUAAGCUUGGUGCCCGUAGCUAACGUGAUAAAUCGACCGCCUGGGGAGUACGGCCGCAAGGUUAAAACUCAAAUGAAUUGACGGGGGCCCGCACAAGCGGUGGAGCAUGUGGUUUAAUUCGAUGCAACGCGAAGAACCUUACCUACUCUUGACAUCCAUGGAAUCUUGUAGAGAUACGGGAGUGCUUCGGGA
rnacentral:rRNA from 1 species